rnacentral:pre_miRNA from 1 species
UGCCCAAAUCCUUCUCUCGUAACAUCUCAUUGGAGAUGCUUGACUCCUAAAUUUUCAAGUGAUUACAUUUAAUAUGGAAAGUUCUCAUAAAUGUAACUUAAAAAUUUGGGAGUCGAGCAUCUCCAAUGGGCUGUUACAGGAAAAGGAUUUAGGCA